GACGAACGCUGGCGGCGUGCUUAACACAUGCAAGUCGAACGGAAAGGCUCUGCUUUUGUGGGGUGCUCGAGUGGCGAACGGGUGAGUAACACGUGAGUAACCUGCCCUUGACUUUGGGAUAACUUCAGGAAACCGGGGCUAAUACCGGAUAGGAGCUCCUGCUGCAUGGUGGGGGUUGGAAAGUUUCGGCGGCUGGGGGUGGACUUGGGGCUUAUCAGAUUGUUGGUGGGGUAGUGGCUUAGCAGGGCUUUGACGGGUAGCCGGCCUGGGAGGGUGGCCGGCCACAUUACGACUGAGAUACGGCACAGACGCCAAUGGGAGGCAGCGGUGGGGAAUAUUGUACAAUGGACGGGAGCCUGAUGCAGCAACGCCGCGUGCGGGAAGACGGCCUUCGGGUUGGGAACCGCUGUCGCCUGUGACGAAGCGGGAGUGACGGUAACGGGUGAAGAAGCACCGGCUAACUACGUG
rnacentral:rRNA from 1 species